GUAUGGUAGAUGCCUUUGUAAGGGUAUUUUUCUGCAUCAAACCAGUGCACAGAUACCUUUAAUAACACACAUUAAAUCACACAGAUUUAAAUAUAUGAAGCCAACCUUACACUUAACAUACUUAAAUAUAUUUAGUAAAAUAGACAACACAGGCGUGAAUAAUCAAUAUCCUUAAUUUCCUCUACUGGGUUAAGGCAUAUGUAUUGCCUUUUCCAAAGCAUAGUAUGCUGUGAGCUAUUCCCCCCUCUCGUGCCACAGAUUUGCAAUGGUUUUCCUGACUUUUAGUUAUUUAUUCAGAGAUUACAAAAAGUAGACUUAAACACUGAUACCUGGGGAGUGAGGGGACACUAAGUGUUUUUUUUUUUCACUGUUUCACUUGCCCUCUUUUCCUGCAAAGAGGAACAAGUACUAUAUUUCUCUCCCAAACUAACACCGUCUACUAUAUUCUCUUUUCUCCAAGAUCCACCUCCCUCCAUCACCAUCUCUACCAGUCUUCAGUUUCUAUCUUCAAUGUCUGUUCCCUCACCUUAAAACAGAUAGAUGCCUCCCAAUCUUCAAAAAUCUCCUUUAACCACCUUCUAGAUGUUCUGUUUGACAACUAUAACUCCACUUCUCACUAAUGUCUUUCUCUCCAAUUUCCAUUUUCACUGCUCUAUGAAAACUAUAAAGAUCAUUAACAACCUGAUCACCAACUACACAGUCUGUCUGCUCAGUCCUGCUUCACUUCACCUCUUUGAUGUGCUGCACUGUUGAUGGUCUAUUAGAAACGACUACUUUCUACCCUUGUUCCCCUCUUCCACUAGAAAUGCCAAUCUUUUCCACUUCACCCACUUCCAUUUCUUAAAGAACUUCCCUGCCCACAAGUUGGAAAGGUUACCCUACCACUACCUGGCCACCGGAGGACAAGUGGUGUAUGGGUGAAUGUUUAACUACAAGCUCUCAAAAAGAGGUGCCCUGAGUUGUAGUGUUUGCCAGUUCCCAUGGUGUAAGUACUCCAAUAGAGGAUUUCAUGAUACCAACAUGAUGCUGCUAAAUGUAGUUGGGAAGAGAUGUGCACAAUAGGUUCUCAUAAGUCAGCUCUAGUAUACCAGUGCAAGGAGUAAAAAUUAGGCCAGACUAUCUAUUCCUCUCUCUCACUCAAAAAUUUAAAUUAAUAGACUCAAAGAUGGGGUAGAAGUCCCCAGAGUUAGAACGGAACGUAGACUUGGAGUGGAGGCAAUGGAGUGCUGGUAAAUAUUUAGUAGCUGGCUUUUGCUGGGGGACUGCUUGGUAGCAUUUGCCAACUUUCUUAGUGCAAAUACUCCAAAGCUGACUUCAAUGCUAAUAGUCAGCUCUCAUGAGCCAGUAUAAACUAACUGCAGCUCACCACUGGGUGUACCUUGCUCAUAUUGGGGCCACAUGCACUAAUGAACAACCAGGAAUAGUCUGCAGGGAAAUAUAGGGUGGCAAUAAUGAAGCAUCUACAUGAUCCCAGAGAGCAUGUGCACAGAAAGACCUUUGUUCUGUUUCCAAGUCCCCAUUCCUGCCACACCUGUCUGUACUUCCAGAUCACUGAAUGACAUAAAAGCCUUUAAGUCAGGAGUGUCAAACUCAU